AUUGAACGCUGGCGGCAUGCUUUACACAUGCAAGUCGAACGGUAACAGGCCUUCGGGCGCUGACGAGUGGCGAACGGGUGAGUAACGCAUCGGAACGUGCCCAGUCGUGGGGGAUAACGCAGCGAAAGCUGUGCUAAUACCGCAUACGAUCUGCGGAUGAAAGCGGGGGACCUUAGGGCCUCGCGCGAUUGGAGCGGCCGAUGUCAGAUUAGGUAGUUGGUGGGGUAAAGGCCCACCAAGCCAACGAUCUGUAGCUGGUCUGAGAGGACGACCAGCCACACUGGGACUGAGACACGGCCCAGACUCCUACGGGAGGCAGCAGUGGGGAAUUUUGGACAAUGGGCGCAAGCCUGAUCCAGCAAUGCCGCGUGCAGGAAGAAGGCCUUCGGUUGUAAACUAGCUUUGUUACGGAACGAAAAAGGUUUACUAUUAAUAACUAGAGCUCAUGAC
rnacentral:rRNA from 1 species